UUGAAACACUCGUUAUUGUAUGAUCACUAAAGUUAAGCAAUUUUGAGCCUGGUCAGUACCUAGAUGGGUGACCAUUUGGGAAUACCAGGUUUUGUAA